GGCGUGCCUAAUACAUGCAAGUCGAGCGAACGGACGAGAAGCUUGCUUCUCUGAUGUUCUCGGAGGACGGGUGAGUAACACGUGGAUAACCUACCUAUAAGACUGGGAUAACUUCGGGAAACCGGAGCUAAUACCGGAUAAUAUUUUGAACCGCAUGGUUCAAAAGUGAAAGACGGUCUUGCUGUCACUUAUAGAUGGAUCCGCGCUGCAUUAGCUAGUUGGUAAGGUAACGGCUUACCAAGGCAACGAUGCAUAGCCGACCUGAGAGGGUGAUCGGCCACACUGGAACUGAGACACGGUCCAGACUCCUACGGGAGGCAGCAGUAGGGAAUCUUCCGCAAUGGGCGAAAGCCUGACGGAGCAACGCCGCGUGAGUGAUGAAGGUCUUCGGAUCGUAAAACUCUGUUAUUAGGGAAGAACAUAUGUGUAAGUAACUGUGCACAUCUUGACGGUACCUAAUCAGAAAGCCACGGCUAACUACGUGCCAGCAGCCGCGGUAAUACGUAGGUGGCAAGCGUUAUCCGGAAUUAUUGGGCGUAAAGCGCGCGUAGGCGGUUUUUUAGUCUGAUGUGAAAGCCCACGGCUCAACCGUGGAGGGUCAUUGGAAACUGGAAAACUUGAGUGCAGAAGAGGAAAGUGGAAUUCCAUGUGUAGCGGCGAAAUGCGCAGAGAUAUGGAGGAACACCAGUGGCGAAGGCGACUUUCUGGUCUGUAACUGACGCUGAUGUGCGAAAGCGUGGGGAUCAAACAGGAUUAGAUACCCUGGUAGUCCACGCCGUAAACGAUGAGUGCUAAGUGUUAGGGGGUUUCCGCCCCUUAGUGCUGCAGCUAACGCAUUAAGCACUCCGCCUGGGGAGUACGACCGCAAGGUUGAAACUCAAAGGAAUUGACGGGGACCCGCACAAGCGGUGGAGCAUGUGGUUUAAUUCGAAGCAACGCGAAGAACCUUACCAAAUCUUGACAUCCUUUGACAACUCUAGAGAUAGAGCCUUCCCCUUCGGGGGACAAAGUGACAGGUGGUGCAUGGUUGUCGUCAGCUCGUGUCGUGAGAUGUUGGGUUAAGUCCCGCAACGAGCGCAACCCUUAAGCUUAGUUGCCAUCAUUAAGUUGGGCACUCUAAGUUGACUGCCGGUGACAAACCGGAGGAAGGUGGGGAUGACGUCAAAUCAUCAUGCCCCUUAUGAUUUGGGCUACACACGUGCUACAAUGGACAAUACAAAGGGCAGCGAAACCGCGAGGUCAAGCAAAUCCCAUAAAGUUGUUCUCAGUUCGGAUUGUAGUCUGCAACUCGACUACAUGAAGCUGGAAUCGCUAGUAAUCGUAGAUCAGCAUGCUACGGUGAAGACGUUCCCGGGUCU
rnacentral:rRNA from 1 species